GACGAAGGGUACAAGCGUUGUUCGGAAUUACUGGGCGUAAAGCGCGCGUAGGCGGAUGAGUAAGUCGAUUGUGAAAUCCCUGGGCUUAACCUGGGAACUGCAGUCGAAACUGCUUAUCUUGAGUGCCUGAGAGGAUGGCGGAAUUCCCGGUGUAGUAGUGAAAUACGUAGAUAUCGGGAAGAACACCUGAGGCGAAGGCGGCUAUCUGGCGGUGCACUGACGCUGAGGCGCGAAAGCGUGGGAGCAAACAGG
rnacentral:rRNA from 1 species